AUAUAUAUACAUAAAAUAUCAAAUACUUUGUGUGUGUGUGUGUGUGUGUGUGUGUGUGUGUAUGUAUACAUACUGUCAAAUACUUCAAAUACUUUCCUUGUUCUAAAGCAAGCCGUGGUUGCCCAUACUGUAUAAUGCAGUAGAGACAUACUAUAUGCAGAACUCAUUAAAAAAAUUUAGGAUUUACCUCCUUUCCAUAGAUUGUUUUGAGAUACGAAUUGAUAUUUCGAUUUCUUUCUUUUCUUAGUUAUUUUAUAUUUUAUUCAUACUUAAUACUAUGUUUUCCCAGAUAUAUCGCUAAUGAAAAGAGUUUACCAGUUUAAUACAUAGUUUAUACACUGAAGUUUGAUUUUUAGUGUUGUUUGCUUAGAUUAAAGCUAGUUUGGACAUUGCGUUGCUUUGAGCUUUGGAAUAAAUAAUCACUGUUUGACUACUGGCUGAAAAUAAGAUGCCAGGGGAAGAAACACACAUGCUUUUCAUGGACUCUAAGUGCAAUAUAUAAUAAAAGGAGGGUGUAUCGUAUAUGAAUUAUGAUUCGACACGCUUGGUUGCUGCUAGCGGUCAAAUAUGCUUUUCCUUUGCUGUCUGCUCCAAUUUCUCUUUGGACGGGUUGAGAGAGCACUACAUGUUCAGGUCAAGAUGUUUGCUCAGAAAUAGUAGUACAGUUGCAGCUGUGUUUGUUGGAGUAGGAGACUAGUUUAAAUAGCAUUGCCAUUUAUCCAGUCCAUUAACAGAACUCUGUAAAAUAAUACCAACUCUGCAUAAACUACAGGACAGUGUAAUAAAAUUACAAGCACUUGUUGACAGAUGGAAAGUGUAAGUAAAGGGAAACUAAAAUAAGGGACGAUAGGUUAGAGGUAAAAAAAAAAAAAAAAAUGCCAGCAUGAAGUUUUCUUAACUCAGGGAGACUCUGUCUUCCCCUUUCCUCCUCCAAAAUCAAGGUUGCAUUUUUAAUAUGAAUCUAAGAGUAGAGAAAAUUAUUUUUAAAGAAAUGUGGAGCUGGUUAACUGAAGAAGAGAUUGCAGUAAAUUCUGAAAUAGUUGAUUACGAUUGAUUGAAAUUUAUGAGUACGGUGUACAAAUCUUCCUGAUAAGUGAACCUGAAAAGAGGCUUCGGAGUAACUGAUUCACACUUUCUGAUGAGUUUGCGACUACUAAUCUGGGCUCAUUAGAGAGGAAUUUCAUUGGUAGUACUGCGGUUAGGCCUUUGGUUAUAAAUAUUUGUUUUGUGGUUUUUGGUUUAUUUCUUUGAGUACAUUAUAUUUACUGAGCCUUCUAACAUAAGCUUAAGUAUCCAAAGCACUUUAUAAAAACCCAUUUUUCACUUAUGUCUGCCAAACCAUACCAAAACUAAACAAACAAAUAAAAAUAACUGCAUAUGUCCCAGUGACUGAUUUUCACUACCUCUUUGAAUAAAAAUUUUUAUUUCUGGUUCUCAAAUGCCAUUCAUUAUUCCCCAGUGCUGUUUGGAGCGACUAAAUUAUCUAACAUUAGGAAUGGUAUUUUUAAGGCCAAGGACUCUCUUUAUGGCCUAGUGAAUACUUACCUGAGACAAAUAGAUUUUGACUGCUUAAUUUCAUUGGCCGGGUCAUAACUCAUUAUCUGUCAGAUAGGAUCUCAGAUUCUCAAAAUUGUUUUUGGUAACUAUAAUAAUUGGGACUUUCUAAAGAAGAAAACUUAAUUUUUUAUUAAGGCAAUAAUUUGUGAAGCAUAACAAAUAUAUAAUUAAAUUGUCUUUAUUUUCCUUUCCAACACUACCAUAGAAGGAACUUUAGUCUUUGUUUCUUUAAUAGUUAUAAAAGCAAUGCAUGCUCAUUGUAAAAAUGAUUCAGAAAGAUAAGAAAAAAAUAGAAAAUAGGAAGUAGAAAUUACCUGUUAUCUCACCACGCAGAUACAGCCAUUAUGAUACAUAUCAAUAAUUAUCUUAGAAUUAUACUUAUGAUUAUGCAUGUAAAUGCUAGUUAGAUGUGUAUUAUGAAAAAUUUUUUUUUUAAAUAUCUCCAGGGUCUAGCAUAAGGCUUGACCUUUAGAAGCUCUCACUACGUGUUUGAUGUAUUGAAUUAUAUCUCUGUUGGGCUCAGGGUUUGUAACUUGAAUGGGCAAAUAGUAUCUCUGCAAUGGCAUUAUAAAUAGUGGAGAACCAAAUUAAAUUUAAAGGAUAACUUGCUCAAUUAAAUGUUUGAUCCCCCUAGGUUUCCUAAGCAUUGAAGGGUUUUAGUAGACACAACACAAUCAAAAUGAUCCAUUUUUCACAUAAGUGAAAUAUACCUUAAUUUAAUAAAAUGUUAUACUUAUAUAAAACUAACUCCCUAGUUCUUGGAUGUCGAUUUAGCCUCAUAGGUUUCCUGGAGUCAACCAUAAAAGUAGAAUACAACAGCAGAGCCUGUGUACAAAUUUCUCUUGAAUUAAUUUCUGCCAGCUCUGAUUAAAGUGUGGGCUACUAGAGGUGUCAGGUGCCAUAGUUUCCUGCUUCAUUUUACUCUUGGCCUGUUUGGCCCCUGCCACAAUAAAUCCGACAGUGGUUGUGCAGGAAUUGCAGGUUACAGUUGCUACGGUUACUGUUGUUCAGCCAGACCGACAUCAUUACUCAUCCAGCGCGCUGCCAUGAUAGCUACCGCUGAUUUCUGUUGCUGAGACUGCCAAAGAGCUUCAUGUGCUGAGGAUGAAAGUUCCGUCGAAGGGUCGAAGGUGGCGUCAGUGUUCUAAUUUGGUGUAAGAACACACUAUCUGAAUUAUAUACUGAUACUUUGCUAAGGGGAACAGAUUGACUUUGUAUCAAGAGAGAUAAAACUUAGAACUAAGUGUUCACUUUCAGUGAUUAAAACACCAAGUCCUUUAUUACUUAGGUAACUUAAUAAUUACUUAUUGGGCCCCAGGGACUCUGUUUUUGCCACUUAAAAAAAUAGAGACAUACAAGGAGUAUUUCAUUUGAAAAGAAAUUUUUUAAAAUAAAUUUUUUAAAAAUUAAAAAUUUAUAAUUUUUGGUAACACUAGAUAACCAAAACCUUAUUUUUAAAGAGGUAAACAACAGACUUGAUAUAUGGUUAUCUGAACAAAGCUCAGAGUAGCUAUUACCACUCCUCAUGAAAGAAAUAAAAGUGCAGAGCCCUGAACAGGACCUACUUUUACUUUUAUUUUUUAAAUCAACUUGUAAUCCUAUGACUUAAGCAUUCUAAAUCCAAUGAAGAUUAAGAUUAUAUUUGAGAUUUUGCCAGAUCUAGUGUUGAUGGUUUUUACUUCAAAGGGAUUACUAAUAGACUUGUUACUAAAGAAAGCCAGCAAUUGUCGGGUUUCUGCUGUUGCCAGCACACAGAGUGGACCCUCUGAGUGUGCAAUCCACAGCACAGCUCAUAGUAGAACAAAAUCAAGUGCAAGAAGGUUUUUCUCACUCAGCUGUACUUAUUUAAAUGGCUGCUUUCACAAAUGCAAAUGUUUCUAACCCCACCAACAAGUACUCAUGGUCUGCCAACUUGAAUUUGUAGAAUACUGUGAUCCAUGCUCAGGAGGGAACUAACAAAAUAUGUGGCUCCAUAAAAUAUGUGAUGUUUGUGGGCCUCAGCUGUUGCUAACAUCUGACCUAUACUAUGUAAAUUAAUGCCUAGAGAGUUCAUUGGGGGUGAUCAAAUCUGUGAAUUUAAGUAUAUCACGUUCAUGUAAAAAUUAUAUACACAUCAUCAGAUAAUAAAGUUUGUAAAUAAUGUAAUUGCCACUACAAUCUCAUGGUUAUGAUCUUUGGGACUGAAAUUUACAUAAAUAUUAUUUCUAGGAAUAAGGGUUAAGGUUUUAGUUAUAUUUAGGUAAUUUGAAUGUAUUUACCUUAUGUUUUAAGAUACUGAAAUCAAUUUAAUUUAUAUUUUAAGGGAGGUGGUGUAAAAUGACAGUGUUUGAAUGUCUACCCAGAUACUUGCUGUUCUGUUACCUUUGAAGUCAGUAGACACCCCUAUUAUCGAGUUUUCAUAUCUAUAACAUGGGAAGGAUCAUGCUGUUUACCUUCUAGGAAAGCACAGUAAAAUUUAAAUUCCACAUUCAAAAGUUACAGAAUUAUAUUUGUACUAUUGUCAUCCUUUCAUUGCAAGCAAGAUGGACAUAAUAGUCACUCAGAUGUCCUUGCAACUUGCCCUCAUUCAGCAAAGUUCUUGAUUCUAUUGCACGGCCCUCUUGCAUUUAUCAUUACUGUAAUAACACAUAAAUAUGUGUAGUCACAUUAAUUUUCUUACCACUGCAAAUUGACAUGAAAUAUGCUUUUGUACCAAGUUAUUUCUCUUUACUUGGCUGUAGAAGGUACAUUAGGGCCAGGAUAUUCUUAAUGAGAUUUCUUUAAGUUGAUGAUUCAUAUAGUUUUAAAGUUCAUCUGCAAAAUAAAUUAGAGAAAGAAACAAAAAGACUGUGACUCAGGAACUAUUUAUGUUAGUGUAUAUAUUUAGAUUGCUGUUUUAAUUAUGUGUUUUUCUGAGUGACAAAGGAAAAAUACAAAGCUCAGAAAAUGCUGAGUGAACUCCUUAAACUAUAGGUAAAGUGUGCUGAAAGUUGUUCAAAAGAUUUACAUAUGUUGCAAAGGAACAUUUUAAGUACUAAUAAAAAUUUCGUUUUUAAGAUAAUAGAAGCUUAAUCUGUUAGCCUUGUAAUAUGUACAUAUGAUUUGAUCUAUGGAACAUUGUAUAGGUGAUUUUAAAUGUAUUUUUAGACGACUAAUUAUGUCAAAAUCCAGUAAAAAUCUGCAAAUCUUUUAGCACUUUUAAAUUGAAGCAAUGUUACAUGAUGAAACAAGUUUGAACCAGAAGUCAUUUUGUUUUACAUUGGUGUUUUUUUUUUUUUCCACAAUUCCAGUGCUUCUCAAAGUAGACAGCAUUAUAGUUAGACACAGAGUGUAUCAUUCAUUACAUAUUACCUGUAACUGAGUUAUACUCCGUGAUUACAAUCACUCAAUUUUUUAUGGAGGGUUAACCUUACAAUAUUUGAUAAUUUUCGAUAUAAGAAACCUUUGGAUGAACGAAUUAAAAGAAAUUAAUCUUAGAAAAGUAAGCAAUGGAGAGUAAAAAGACCAGUCCUUGGCAACACCCAUGGCCUAGGGUACAGCAUAGAGGUGUGAAACGUUAUUAAGAGAACAUCUGUGUCUCUUGAAACAUCCCUCAAAUGAAAGUUUACAGCCAAGUAUGGUAACUUGAUUUAAGUGUUAAAAAAAAAACUUAAAAGAGAAAUAAAUGAGUCUGGAAACAGAAUGGGAAAAAAUAGCUUUGCUCCAUCACGAUAGGUUUCUUCUUCUAGUGAAAGAUUAAAGCUCGAAGUAUGUGAAUAGCUGAGAACAGCACAGAGAAAGGUUGAUUGCUUCCCCUCCGACAGUUCCAAUUGAUUGAAAAAAGCCUAAUUUAAAGUUCUGUUUGUUCUGUGUCUUAAACCAUCAGAAUUCUCUUUUAGGACCGGAGGAAUGCUCUGGAGGAAAAAGAAUCCAAGGAUAAAAAGUCAUUGCAAGCCAACAAUUGUUCCUAAUCCUCACAAAAUGCUGGAGAAAUUAAAUUUAUUCUUUAUUGCUCAAAGUGUUACCUAGGUCACUGGGCGAUGGGAAAAUUGGACUGGAAGUCGAGUAGGCGCAAGCUUUGUUUUUGUGUCUAGAUGCUUAACCUUAGACACGACAAGGCAUCUUAGAGUGUUGUGGGAACUUGGUUCAGAGCAUUAACACCAAGACUUUUAUUACCCUGGAUUUAUAAUAGGCUGUGCUGUCAGGAGAUGAAAAUGUUGUGUUUACAUUUCAGUGUUAAAUGAUCAUUUAAUUAACACCUAAGGGAAAAAAAACUUGUGAAAUUCUUAGCAGCUUUUAUUGUUGGUUUCCUGGGAGGUUUUAAUAUCCAAGUUUCAUUGAGAUUUUUUUUUGUAAGUAAAAACACAAAAGACAUUAUAAACUUUUUAAGGAAGACAAACAGUUUAACCUUGACCCUUUUUAUCUAAAAUAUUAAUUUAAAUUAAAUUUUAAAUCUGGUAUUCUAAGUUUCUAGACUAAUAUAUUCAAAUAUAUCUUAAUUGAACACUGCUUUUGUGUAAACAGUAUAAAAAUAUUAUUGAAUUUACAUGAUACGUUUUAUAUGGUAAAACAUUUGAAGUUAUUAGUUUCUCUUAAGAAGUUUAAAAUGUUUAGAAUACUGAUUUAAACAUUUUGCAUCUGUCAAACUACCACUGUAGUUACAUUGUUUAGAAUCUGUCUCAAUGUAGGUAUUUAUAUGCAAGCAUAUUCUAUUGAUAAGAGUUACAUCAUAAUUAUAUUAUUUUUAUCAUUAAUUUGGAUAUAGUUACUUCAUGAUGAAAGAGGUUUAUAUAUACAAAAUAGGGAAGAAUAAUGUCAUUAAUAUGAAAAUUCAGAUUCACUUAAUUAGAAAUAACUACAAGAUUAGACAUUGUAAAAUACUGUUAUUUACUCUUGCUCUUUUAUGAGAGAGUUAAUCAAAAAGAAAUGGUCUGAGGCAGAGUGAUAACAACUGGAAAAUAUAAUAUGCACUUUCAAGAGUAGCUGCAUAGAAAUACAUUGUGCACCCUGGACAAUUAAUUUUCCUGACCUUUUGAGGAUAACAGAAUGUGUGGAACCUGAAUACCCUGAAGGCAAAGGAAUCUGGAGUCUGUUUCUAAGAGGAAAGCUUCUCUCUGAGUUGGUGUGGGUUUUCUUUCCCUCUCUUGAAGGGGAAUGAAUUCCACACCUAAUGAAUAGUUUCAAGGAAAGUUGUUAAUCAGGUACUCCAAGUGACCACCCUGAAUUCUUCUUUUAUUACACAGGAACGUGAGGGAAUGAGAAAGCAACAUAGUUACAUUUGAUAAAAGGAAAUACCUUUUCUCCCCUCCCCACCCACCAUGUAAUCCCUUGGAAUUUAGUUGACUUGGGAAAUUACUGCAGCAAAUAAUACGUUUGAAAAAGCAAUGUUGUAUGAACAAGAAUAAUGCUUGUAGCUACAAUAAUUAUGUUAAAAAUCACAAAGUAUAUCCAUCAUCAUAUUUCAGGGCAAGAGUUUUCACCUAACGAGGUUGGAAAAGAAUUUUUCCUUAGUUCUUGUCAAUCCCCCAGUGAAGCACGACAUACAGGCAUUGCUGUUAUCCACAUUAUAUUUCGUUCUUUUCUGAUUCAUCAGAUAACAUUCUGUUGCUCUAAAAUGGGAAACUCAAUCAAAAUCAGAUGAAGAACAUUAAGUAAAUGUGACAGAGGGGUAAUAAUGAACUAUAAAUAUAAUUCAAUCUUAUUCGGAUGGACAAAUGUUAUUCUUCAAUCCUUUCCCAUUUAGAAGCCAUAGUCUGAUUUAAAAGGAGAAAAGUGGUUUAAAACAACAUUAGAGUCCAGAUAUUUCUGUUUUCUAAAUUAAGUUACCUGAGUUGAAGAACACUAUUCAAGUGUGAGUAAACAUGUUUUGAUAAAAAGUUUUGUUAUUUCCAAAUAAAUAUUUCACCUCCAAUCAUCACUGUGAUGUCUAUUACAAGAUACUCACUUUGGUUGUUGUUGUUGUUUAAUAGUAUGAUUCAGUUUUAGAUUUUUAAAAGGAUAGUUCUUAUGCCCAAUUCUCAAUAAUAUAUUGUUCCAAUAUCUUUUAUUUAUUACCAUACUAAUUUUAUAUUAGAUUUCAAAGAAGUGAUGUCUACAGUGUGCUCUCCAGUGAUUCGAAAAAAGUGUGCUGUGGUCAAAUGUGUUGGGAAAUAAUGAAAGUCACAUCACCUAUGGUGGUUACAGUGUACACUUGUGUAUUCAUCUUAAAAGCAUACGGCAAUAAAUAAAUCUGUUUAAUCUUUUAAAA